rnacentral:rRNA from 1 species
AGUGGCGAACGGGUGAGUAACACGUGGGCGAACCUGCCCAAAAGAGGGGGAGUAACACUUGGAAACAGGUGCUAAUACCGCAUAACCAUAGUUACCGCAUGGUAACUAUGUAAAAGGUGGCUAUGCUACCGCUUUUGGAUGGGCCCGCGGCGCAUUAGCUAGUUGGUGGGGUAAAGGCUUACCAAGGCAAUGAUGCGUAGCCGAACUGAGAGGUUGAUCGGCCACAUUGGGACUGAGACACGGCCCAAACUCCUACGGGAGGCAGCAG